rnacentral:rRNA from 1 species
UGGGGAAUUUUGGACAAUGGGCGCAAGCCUGAUCCAGCCAUGCCGCGUGCGGGAAGAAGGCCUUCGGGUUGUAAACCGCUUUUGUCAGGGAAGAAAUCCUUUGAGCUAAUACCUCGGGGGGAUGACGGUACCUGAAGAAUAAGCACCGGCUAACUACGUGCCAGCAGCCGCGGUAAUACGUAGGGUGCGAGCGUUAAUCGGAAUUACUGGGCGUAAAGCGUGCGCAGGCGGUUAUAUAAGACAGAUGUGAAAUCCCCGGGCUCAACCUGGGACCUGCAUUUGUGACUGUAUAGCUAGAGUACGGUAGAGGGGGAUGGAAUUCCGCGUGUAGCAGUGAAAUGCGUAGAGAUCUGGAGGAAUACCGGUGGCGAAGGCGGCCCCCUGGACAAAGACUGACGCUCAGGUGCGAAAGCGUGGGGAGCAAACA